GCUCCAUAGUGUAGUGGUUAGCAUGUCUGCUUUACACACAGAAGGUCCUGGGUUCGUGUCCCAGGUGGAGCG
rnacentral:tRNA from 1 species